CGGUUACCUGAGGGAGACUUCAGAUUGUUCUGCUGACACAAGUGAACUCUCCUUAAGAACCUCUACACCGCUCCUCUGUCUGCUCUCCUGGCUCAAGUGCUCCUCGAUAACUCAUCACUCUCUCACCACCUGCCAGUCCACCCUCCAACAUUUUGCCGAUCCACAACGUCCACUAGGAAAAGAAGGACCGAAGGAGACAAUUAUUAACUCCACCAAUCUCCUGACCAAACUCAGCCUCAGUGGAUAUCCUGACUUCCUCUGCACCAGACCGAGUUUCCUGAGGGAGACUUCAGAUGUUCUGCUCACACAAGUGGUAAUCAGACACUACUCUUCUGUGUAUCAUGGACUUCUUGAAAUCUUACAUUUCUUGUUGCUGUCCCUCCCUUAGAGAAAUCUGUUUGUCUUUGUCAAUUCUCAGACAUUGGAUUC